rnacentral:rRNA from 1 species
UACAGAGGUCCCAAGCGUUGUUCGGAUUCAUUGGGCGUAAAGGGUGCGUAGGUGGCGCCGUAAGUCGGGUGUGAAAUUUCGGAGCUUAACUCCGAAACUGCAUUCGAUACUGCGGUGCUUGAGGACUGGAGAGGAGACUGGAAUUCAUGGUGUAGCAGUGAAAUGCGUAGAGAUCAUGAGGAAGACCAGUGGCGGAGGCGGGUCUCUGGGCCGAUACUGACGCUGAGGAGCGAAAGCGUGGGGAGCGAACAGG